rnacentral:rRNA from 1 species
UUCCGGUUGAUCCUGCCGGACCUGACUGCUAUCUGAUUGGUACUAAGCCAUGCGAGUCGUUGUAGCAAUACAAGGCGGACUGCUCAGUAACACGUAGUUAACUUAACCUAUGGAUGGGCAUAACCUCGGGAAACUGAGAAUAAUACCCAAUGGACCACAGUGCCUGGAAUGGCCUGUGGUUGAAAUGAUUUAUCGCCGUAGGAUAGGACUGCGGCCUAUCAGCUUGUUGGUGAGGUAAUGGCCCACCAAGGCUAUAACAGGUACGGGCUCUGAGAGGAGGGGCCCGGAGAUGGGUACUGAGACACGGACCCAGGCCCUAUGGGGCGCAGCAGGCGAGAAACCUUUGCAAUGUGCGAAAGCACGACAAGGUUAAUCCGAGUGUCUCCUGCUAAAGGAGUCUUUUGUCAGUUGUAGAAUCACUGGUGAAUAAGGGGUGGGCAAGUUCUGGUGUCAGCCGCCGCGGUAAAACCAGCACCUCGAGUGGUCAGGAGGUUUAUUGGGCCUAAAGCAUCCGUAGCCGGUUGCAUAAGUUUUCGGUUAAAUCUAUGCGCUUAACGUAUAGGCCGNCGAAUAUACUGUGCAGCUAGG